rnacentral:rRNA from 1 species
AGGAUCAUUAUUGAAUA